GGCCACAUCGCAUUAAAACACCGAUCCCUGUAUGAUCACCGAAGUUAAGUAACGUCGAGUCUGGUCAGUACCUGGAUGGAUGACUGCUUGGGAAUACCAAGAGCUGUAA